rnacentral:lncRNA from 1 species
UUUAUUGUAUGAAAAAACAGAUGUAGAAAAAUUGGCAUUUUUAUAUUUUACAAUUUUAGGAUGUGAAACAGGUAAAGAGAAUACAUUUCGCGUGCGUUUGGUUCGCAUUAUGAAAGAUUACUAGGAAUAAAAGAUAUCCGAGAAUCUUAUUCCUAUUCAUCCUAUUACUAAGAAUGUGAAAUUCCUGUGUUUGGUUCGCACGGUAAUAUUAAUUAGCCAUAUUAUUUAAUAUUACAAAAAAUAUAUAAUUAAUUAAUUUAUUUAUUUAAUUAAUUUUAGAUAAUGUUAUCAAAAGUUUCAACAUCUUUUUAGAAAAAAGGGAGAGAGAGUAUAAGUUAGAGAGAGAGAGCAUAAUUAAAAAAAUAUAAAGAAAAAUAUAGUCGAAAUUAGAGGGAGUGAGAGAGUUGAAAUUUUAGAGAGAGAGAGAGAAAGCUUAGUUUAGAGAGAGAAAAAAAAAGUUGAAUUUUAGGGAGAAAAAUAAGUUUAGAGAGAGAUAUAAGGUUAUAGUGUAAAGAAAAAUAAUAUCAAUUAGCCUACGGGUAGGAAGAAAGAGAUUAGACAUAUUGUGAUUACCCCAAUUCAUUAAUAUGAAGAUACCCACCCUCCCUCAAGGGAAUGAGAUUAGUAUUUUGGGGUGAAUCUUAUUCCCAAAUGAAUUCAAUAUUAGCAACUAGAUUACUUAGUGCGUUUAGCCAAACACCGUCAUAUUUUUCUAUUCUCAUUGGAUUAGUAGGAAUUUUUAAAAGAUAGCGCGAACCAAACGCACCCUUCAAGACAUACCCCGCAACCUUAGGCUAUUUUGAUGUGGGUCACUCAAACUUUAGUUUUCUUAUAGUAAGUACUAACAAGGUAUUUAUAUGGUAUUUUUUUUAUUUUUUUGUUCCUGGCAAAAUAUUUGAAAUAUAUUAACAGCUAAACUAACUGUAUCUAAAGUCCCAAAAAUUCGAAGCCUGAUUGUUUUUAUAUUUUUAGUUGAGUUUAUUCGUGAAAAAAUAGUGAAACAUAUACCUGGCUAUCUGUCUCAAUCAAGGGAAAAAAAAACAAAAAACAACUAAGUGGUCAAUUUUCUGGAAUCGACUCGCCUUGGAUUUUCUUGUAGUUGUUACUGUCACAUAGUCAAUUCCAACUUAUUAGGUUGGUUCCAUCUAAACCAAUAAUAAUAAUAAUAAUAAUAAUAAUAAUAAUGUAUAGAGUUCGGCUAUGAUGCUUGUAAAAGCACCAAGCACUUGGUACUUUUAAAUUUUUUAUCGUUAGAUCUACGUCUUUGAUCAUUUUUACCAGUUAGAUUAUACUAUUCAACCAACCACCCACUCAACUCUAGGGGGCCAUAGCAUCUUAACUGUACAUCCCUUAAUCCAAGGGCCGAAAACUUACAAGCAUCAAUGACUUGGUACCUUUAAAAGCAUAGAAACUCAAUUAUAUAUAU